GCAAGCUUGUCCUAGAGCUGCUGCGGGCAUCAGCUCUUCAUUUUGCACCAAGUAAUGACUAGCUGUUGUCGUCCCGCCUUCACCACAGCUCUCAGAGCAUGAAACACCUGGGAAGGAGCGGGGAGAGUCAAUAAUUGAGGGCAGCGUAUGCUCAGGGCAAAGUGCAGUCACUGUUGGCAUAGACAGGAUUUGUCUUUUUUUUUCCUUUCUUUUUUUCCUUAACCUAAGCACCGCCUCUGGAUACCUUGGAGACACAAACAGGUGGAUUGGAAGUACUGGCUCCUGCUCUGUUCAUGAAAAGAAUGUAAUGGAAAGAAUAUGUGUAAAGGAUAAUGCUGCUGAGCUGAACCUCGUGCCAGUAUUUGUGUGACUGUGUGAUACUGUGGGACUUCAGUCUCACUGCUGCAUUUCAGACCAGGUAAGGACACCUCUCUUUCUCUCUCCCUCUUCAGCUAUCCCCAGCAUAGCUCAGUACUGAAUCAG
rnacentral:lncRNA from 1 species